rnacentral:rRNA from 1 species
CGUAGGUGGCAAGCGUUAUCCGGAAUUAUUGGGCGUAAAGCGCGCGUAGGCGGUUUUUAAGUCUGAUGUGAAAGCCCACGGCUCAACCGUGGAGGGUCAUUGGAAACUGGAAAACUUGAGUGCAGAAGAGGAAAGUGGAAUUCCAUGUGUAGCGGUGAAAUGCGCAGAGAUAUGGAGGAACACCAGUGGCGAAGGCGUACUUUCUGGUACUGUAACUGACGCUGAUGUGCGAAAGCGUAGGGGGAUCAAACAGGAUU